rnacentral:rRNA from 1 species
AACGAACGCUGGCGGCGUGCCUAACACAUGCAAGUCGAGCGAGAAAAGGGGAGCAAUCCCCUGAGUACAGCGGCGCACGGGUGAGUAACACGUAGGUGAUCUCCCCUCGAGCCCGGAAUAACCUACCGAAAGGUGGGCUAAUACCGGAUAUGACCACGGGAGUUUCGGCUCCUGCGGUGAAAGAUGGCCUCUACCUGUAAGCUAUCACUCAAGGAUGAGCCUGCGNGCCAUUAGCUAGUUGGUGAGGUAACGGCUCACCAAGGCGAUGAUGGCUAGCUGGUCUGAGAGGAUGGCCAGCCACACUGGGACUGAAACACGGCCCAGACUCCUACGGGAGGCAGCAGUGGGGAUAUUGCGCAAUGGGACGAAAGCCUGACGCAGCGACGCCGC